AAUAUCAGAGAAGAAAACUACAAUAAUUGACAUUGACAUCGAUGAUACAAUUCUAGGUCCCAGUGAUAAGGUAUAAUUUUGUAAACUGCAGGCUUUUGCAGGUUCAAGACCCCUUGGAGUUCUGAUCUAAGGACUAAUCGACACUUUUUCAGUCUUGUGGAAGAAAACAGAACAAUGACCUGAGAUCAAUCGAUGCAAAUGGUUUAUGCUAACUGAUUUUUGAGGAACCGUGUUGGAGAUUGCUACAGAGAGACCACUCCAGGGCAUUAUCGCAGACGAACUCGUGGCAGAAAAGAUAAAGUUUCAGAUGACAAACAAAGUCAUCUGUUUCAACAAGUAUAUUUGAUCAGAUGACCCCCUCGUAACCAUCUUUUUGUUUUCCUUAAUCUUUCCAACAAGUAUAUUAUCCAACUUCAAUCUAUGAUUUGCUUUGUUGUGUGAUGUCUUAAUUUGUUUUUGUUGUGAGGUCAGGCUUUACCGAAA